rnacentral:rRNA from 1 species
AGAGUUUGAUUCUGGCUCAGGAUGAACGCUAGCUACAGGCCUAACACAUGCAAGUCGAGGGGUAGCGUGAGGGAAGCUUGCUUCCCUUGACGACGACCGGCGAAUGGGUGAGUCACGCGUGUCCAACCUGCCCCGUGCCCGGGGAUAGCCCUUGGAAAUGAGGAUUAAGACCCGAUAUGUGGCGCUUCCGCAUGGCGGCGCCAUGAAGCAGGCACGGGAUGGGGACGCGUCGGAUUAGCUUGACGGCGGGGCAACGGCCCACCGUGGCGACGAUCCGCAGGGGUUCUGAGAGGAAGGUCCCCCACACUGGCACUGAGACACGGGCCAGACUCCUACGGGAGGCAGCAGUGAGGAAUAUUGGUCAAUGGGCGGGAGCCUGAACCAGCCAAAGUAGCGUGCAGGACGACGGCCCUACGGGUUGUAAACUGCUUUUCCGGGAGGAUAAAGUGAGCCACGCGUGGUUCAUUGCAGGUAUCCCGGGAAUAAGGACCGGCUAAUUCCGUGCCAGCAGCGGC